GAAUAGUUAAUAUUUAUAUCUGGCAAAUAUAGAGCCCAAAGCCCGUUACAACUAAAUAAGCGCUAGGGUUUAAAUCCUUAUUUUGUUCCAGGCCAGCCGCAUUUCUUCCUCAAAGCGUUCUCUCUCUCCUCAUUUCUCUUCUUCCUCUGUCCUCUUCAUUUUCUAUCUCCUUUUCUCUUUCUUUUUAGAUCCAAACCAUCAAUCAUCCACCUUGUAAGCUUUUUACGCCUACCGUUGAGCCACGAGCAUCCACCACUAAGCCAUGAGAUGUUGGUCCGAGCAUUCAAUUGGUUAAGGUUUUUCAGUUUUAGAUUCUAUUUUAAUUUAGGGGAGGGAACCUGGGUACGAGAUUGAACCCGGGUAGUGUGGCGAUGCGAAGGUUUGGUAUUGAUGAUGAGGAAAAGGAUACCAGAUUGUUGUGGGGUGAAAGAUUUGAAGGUAUGACCCACAAGUUCCUACUUUAUUAGCCAACUUGCUGCUGUAUUUGCUUCGUAAGAAGAUUACUGGGCAUUGGGCUCAACUUCGUCAACUUGUUAAUCAAUCACUUACUAUGUAGCACAGGUUUUCUUUCACUCUCUUCUACAUUGUUUUUCUUGUAUUUUGAUGGGAUUUUGUUUGAAGAAAUUGAGAUGAUAUGAUAUUGAGUAUGUAAUUGAGGUAUAAUUUUUUUGGUGGGUGAUUGAGGAAUGAGUUUGGUAAUGGGGGUAAUUGAGGAAUGAGUUUGAUGAUGGGUAAUUGAGGAAUUGGUUUGAUAAUGGGUAAUUGAGGAAUCAGCUUGAUGAUGAGAAAUUGACGAACUAAUUUAAUAAUGGUUAGUUGUGAAUUAAUUUUUGUCGUUAGGAUUAUUUUACUUGUAUAUAACAAGUGAUUCAAGAAACUUGUUGUAGUUAGGAUUAUUUUAUUAGUGGAAUAGUGUGGAAUGAUUUACUGGAAAUGGUGAAAUGUAUGUUCUAUGAAGAUUUAACUUUUAUCAAAUGGGUUGAUGGUUGGUUGUGGGUUGUGGGUUAUAUUUUCUGUAUAAGAUUUGCGGUGAUUUUGAGAUUUAUAGCCGUGUGGGUUGUGAUAAUUGGAAUAUCAACCGAAAUUGUUUGACGCUAUUUAUGAAUGUGAAUUGAAUGAAUGAUAGAUAUAGUAAGGGAUUAUCUUUUGUUUUGUGAAUGCUUCAGUUUUGUUUAUAUUAGUGUGUUUGUCGAGGUUCUUGUUUCUGAGCUCUUUAGAUUAUAUAAUGAAUUUAAGAUAUUCAUUAAAUUGCCAAAGCAUUCUAGAUAUGUGACUGUCAAAAAUGUCAAAUACAUUCCAAGACAUGUGAUUGUGUAAAACUUGUAAUCAAUUCAAUACUCCUUAUUGUUACUUUGCCCUCUAAUUUUCUUUUACUGUCAUACCUGCUUAAAUACUUCGUAUUAUAAUAUGCUGAUGUUGUGAAUUUGAGAUACUACUUAACCAAAUUAUUAAAUUUGCGACUGUUGUGAAUAUCUGUUUUGUAAAAUUUCUGCUUAAAUACUUCGUAUUAUAACAAGUACCUUUACAGAUUACAUAUGCUCUUAGCUUUGUUGCUUUUGCAUGCCUUUCUGUAUCGUAUUAUAACAAGGCUAGAUGUUGAUAAUGUGGUCGAGCAGAAGAGUGAUAUUGCCAAAGCAGUUGCUGAUGACUUGAAAAAGUAAUGUCUCAUGGUUUUGAAAUUGUUCAAACACUUAUUACUGAUAUUGAACCUCCAGAGCAGCCUCGACCUCGCCGAAGAAACAGAGAGAGAAUGCAGCAGUUGGAUUCUUCUGAGUUUGUAUUGUAGGGCUUUGAAAAAUGCAGUAAAUGAUUGCUCUGAUUUAAUAAAGAAGAAGAGGAAGUUGCCUUGUUCAGCUUUGAAAUUAUGGAGGUUUAGUGAGAAAAAGAAUAAAGAGGUUUAGUGGAAUUAUGUUGUAGCUUUUGAAUCAUGUUAGGAGUUGUUGUUAAGUCAAUUUGGACAUUAGUACAAGUUGUAUCUUAAUUUAUAAUUAAUUGAAUUUUACAUUUAUUAUUAUUGGAAAGUAAUAAUAAUAUUAAAGAUUUGGCAUCA